GAUGAACGCUGGCGGCGUGCCUAAUACAUGCAAGUCGAGCGAACGGACGAGAAGCUUGCGUCUCUGAUGUUAGCGGAGGACGGGUGAGUAACACGUGGAUAACCUACCUAUAAGACUGGGAUAACUUCGGGAAACCGGAGCUAAUACCGGAGAAUAUUUUGAACCGCAUGGUUCAAAAGUGAAAGACGGUCUUGCUGGCACUUAUAGAUGGAUCCGCGCUGCAUUAGCUAGUUGGUAAGGUAACGGCUUACCAAGGCAACGAUGCAUAGCCGACCUGAGAGAGUGGUCGCCCACCCUGGAACGGAGACACGGACCAGGCUCCUACGGUAGGCCGCAGUCGGGAAUGUUCCGCAGUGGGCGAGAGCCUGACGGAGCGACGCGACGUGAGUGGUGACGGUCUUCGGUUCGUAAUACUCUGUUAUUAGGUAAGAACAUAUGUGUAAGUAACUGUGCACAUCUUGACGGUACCUAAUCAGAAAGCCCCGGCUAACUACGUG
rnacentral:rRNA from 1 species